UCCACGCCGUAAACGCUGUCUACUUGGAGGUUGAGGUUUAAGACUUUGGCUUUCGGCGCUAACGCAUUAAGUAGACCGCCUGGGGAGUACGGCCGCAAGGUUAAAACUCAAAUGAAUUGACGGGGGCCCGCACAAGCGGUGGAGCAUGUGGUUUAAUUCGAUGCAACGCGAAGAACCUUACCUACUCUUGACAUCCAGAGAACUUUCCWGAGAUGGAUUGGUGCCUUCGGGAGCUCUGAGACAGGUGCUGCAUGGCUGUCGUCAGCUCGUGUUGUGAAAUGUUGGGUUAAGUCCCGCAACGAGCGCAACCCUUAUCCUUGUUUGCCAGCACAUAAUGGUGGGAACUCCAGGGAGACUGCCGGUGAUAAACCGGAGGAAGGUGGGGACGACGUCAAGUCAUCAUGGCCCUUACGAGUAGGGCUACACACGUGCUNACACCAUGGGAGUGGGCUGCACCAGAAGUAGAUAGCUUAACCUUCGGGAGGGCGUUUACCACGGUGUGGUUCAUGACUGGGGUGAAGUCGUAACAAGGUAGCCCUAGGGGAACCUGGGGCUGGAUCACCUCCUUA
rnacentral:rRNA from 1 species